CACACGCGGACACGAGGGUCUCUUCCCGACCCGUCCGGUGCCCCGAUACCGGGGCGACCGUCCGCGGAGGUUCAACCGGAAAAGGAACUGA
rnacentral:sRNA from 1 species